UCCCGCACCUCGCACUCUCCCCCGACCCACCCGCCGCCGCCGCCCCAGGAAACCCCCAACCCACCCAUCGCCGGGGACCACCCAACCGCCACCGCCCUCAACCCCAGCCACCAUGGCCCCCGACCCCAGGCGUCGCCGCCCCGCCAAUCCCGGGUGUCGCUGCCCCUUGAAAUCUCCCGAUCCGGAAUCACGCCAGCUAGCCACCCCACCCAUCGCGGCGGCGCCUUCUACGGUGAUGCUGACGCCGGCCUCCUCUCGCAGCACCGCCGGCGCUCUGCUGGUAGAAGUUCGAGGCCGGAUCCAGAAGAAGUUCGAGGAAUGCUCCUAACACCAGAGCUGCCAUCCGCCCCCGCUCUCCGCCCCCGCGUGAGGAUCCUACCGGAGAAAGCGAGAUUGACUCGCCCAAGCAUUGACUCCUCCCGGGCUCUGCCACCCUGCUCCCAUGAUCCGCCGCCCCCCUGCAGCAACGCCCUUGCCCCCCAAAGCAGCAGCCCAGGGGCAUUAUGCCAUCUGUAGUGCAUCUAGCCCAACACACCAUGCUCCUCAACUCUCUCCUCUGCAUCUCCUGCCUUGGCAUCCCUCGCGUGUGACCUUCUCCAGCGCCUCUGAUCGACCUUCCCGUCAUCUCUUGCUUGAACCCGUGCACCACUUCUUCUGAAUCAGCUCUACUUGUUCGAAGCUAUAGAGCAUUUUCUUCAGGGCAGUGGAGAGAACCCUCACCCUUAUCCGAUCUGCAGCGCCGCCCGAGUUGUCCCAACGCAACCCCAAGCUGUUCAACUACGCAGCCCCAGGCCGUUCAAUGACAGAGCCGCUGGAAGUUCAUGAACACAUCACCUGGAUCCUGCUGCCCACCAUCCAGUUCAAUUUCUGCUGAAUCUGGUGAAGGGAGACUUCUUCUGAGAUCAAUUCCCUCUUUGGUUUCGUUUCCACAUGUCGCCAGUUGGUAUUUCCCGGAAAGAUUUAUGUAUACUGGGAUCUCCAUGUACUGAACAUGUUAGAAAGAUAUCUCAUGUAUAUUCGUCUCUUGUGUGCUGCAGUCCCUUAGCUCGCCGCGUCUUCUCAGCAAGCCGUGGAGACAAGACCAUGCAUCCAAAAUUGUUCCUGAUGGAGACACCACUCUGCUUGUUGCUACCUACAUCCCGUGGAAGACAGUGGGCACGGCCUUGCUAUAGACCCUGCAUGUUGCUGCGGCCGUGCUCCUGGCUACCUAGGCGUGCCCGUGCCUCUAGCUCCCGCCAGAAAAUUGGCCACCAUUGCAGGUCAGCUUCUCCUGAUGUGCCAGUCCAGCUGCGAAAAUGAAGAGUACAGGGAAGCUUCUCCAGGAAAUGGCCACCAUUGCGGUUGGUUUCUCAAUCAAGAUGUUGCUUGUCUGAGAGUACAUGGAAGAAGAAAAUCACGGAGAAGAUAACGCAUCAGCACUGUGUGGGUAAGGUGAGAGAAGAUAUGAAGGGAAUGUGUGGUGGAGAAAUGCAAGUCCGCCACUAGUUAGUGCAUCUUUUAUGUAAAAAAGGAUUGGGUGCUUGUAGUUACAGUGUGGCCAUGUGAUUUGAGAAUAUUGUUUGUAAGCGUGCAUUGUCUUUUUGCUGCUGAUUCUUAUGCUCAAAUGAUCCCUAAAUUUCUAUAGUGUUUGCA